rnacentral:rRNA from 1 species
AGCGUUAUCCGGAUUUAUUGGGCGUACAGGGUGCGUAGGCGGUUGUGUAAGUUUGAGGUUAAAUCCCGGAGCUCAACUCUGGUUCGCCUUGAAAACUACAUGACUAGAAUGCAAGAGAGGUAAACGGAAUUCCAUGUGUAGCGGUAAAAUGCGUAGAUAUAUGGAAGAACACCUGUGGCGAAAGCGGUUUACCAGCUUGUUAUUGACGCUGAGGCACGAAAGCGUGGGGAGCAAAUAGGAUUAGAUACCCUAGUAGUCCACGCCGUAAACGUUGAGUACUAGGUGUCGGGAAUCAUCUCGGCGCCGCAGCUAACGCAUUAAGUACUCCGCCUGAGUAGUAUGCACGCAAGUGUGAAACUCAAAGGAAUUGACGGGGACCCGCACAAGUGGUGGAGCAUGUGGUUUAAUUCGAAGCAACACGAAGAACCUUACCAGGGCUUGACAUCCAGUGCAAAGGCAUAGAGAUAUGCUGGAGGCUAACAUUGAGACAGGUGGUGCAUGGUUGUCGUCAGUUCGUGCCGUGAGGUGUUUGGUUAAGUCCAGUAACGAACGCAACCCUUAUCAUUAGUUACUAACAUUUAGUUGAGGACUCUAAUGAGACUGCUAGUGUAAGCUAGAGGAAGGUGGGGAUGACGUCAAAUCAUCAUGCCCCUUAUGUCCUGGGCUACACACGUGCUACAAUGGCUGAUACAAAGAGUCGCAAUCUCGUGAGGAGGAGCUAAUCUCAUAAAAUCAGUCUCAGUUCGGAUUGAAGGCUGCAACUCGCCUUCAUGAAGCCGGAAUCACUAGUAAUCGCGAAUCAGCUAAGUCGCGGUGAAUACGUUCUCGGGUCUUGUACACACCGCCCGUCACACCAUGAGAGUUGGUAACACCAGAAGCAGGUAGCUUAACCGCAAGGA